AUCUGGGCGGCGAAAUUCAGGAUGACUGGCGGGCCUCGCGCUUGUCCGGUCGUUUGAUAUUUUCGUUGCCAGUUCAGACGUCGCGACCUGUUUGUCGUCGGUCCUUGCUCGGAGGAAUCGUGAUCGAGUUCGUUGUGGGUGCGUUUCGGCGUGCCACACGGCGAAGACGCGAAUCUCUGGCCGACGACGGACAGUAAGCAACGGUGUAGGGCGUCGUGUCACGCGACGUCAUCGCCGGUCUGCGAUGAUUUCUUCGGGCCUCUUUCCGACCCGUCUUGAAACACGGACCAAGGAGUCUAACAUGCGCGCGAGUCGCGGGGUAUCGAGCGUACCACGGUGCGCUCGUUACAUCUCGAAACCCGUAAUGUUGAAGGCGUAAUGAAAGUGAAUGGGGAAGAUGGUGUUCCGAGUAAACGUUCCGUGAUCUAGUAUUGCGGCCGGACGCCCGCAUUCCCAGGGUGUCUCAAUGGCUCGUCGCGGAUGCGGACGGUCGUCUCUCGGGGCGGCCGUCGGUCUGCGACGGACCGA
rnacentral:rRNA from 1 species